rnacentral:rRNA from 1 species
CUACGGGUGGCUGCAGGCGAGAAAACUUUGCAAUGUGCGAAAGCACGACAAGGUUAAUCCGAGUGGUUUCUGCUAAAGGAACCUUUUGUCGGUCCUAGAAACACCGAUGAAUAAGGGGUGGGCAAGUUCUGGUGUCAGCCGCCGCGGUAAAACCAGCACCUCAAGUGGUCAGGAUGAUUAUUGGGCCUAAAGCAUCCGUAGCCGGCUCUGUAAGUUUUCGGUUAAAUCUGUACGCUUAACGUACAGGCUGCCGGGAAUACUGCAUAGCUAGGGAGUGGGAGAGGUAGACGGUACUCGGUAGGAAGGGGUAAAAUCCUUUGAUCUAUUGAUGACCACCUGUGGCGAAGGCGGUCUACCAGAACACGUCCGACGGUGAGGGAUGAAAGCUGGGGGAGCAAACCGGAUUAGAUACCCUGGUAGUC